rnacentral:misc_RNA from 1 species
AACGCAUCUUGCGCCGCUCGGUUUUUCGAGGGGCACGUCUGUUUGAGUGUCACGUUAAUCUAUCACUUGCCUUUUGGUGAAGUGGACUUGGACUGUGCUGUUAUUUUAAAUAAUUGACGGCUCGUCUCGAAAUGCAUUGUUGCCUGCAGAGUCUUGCGCGGAGUGAGACUGACAAAACGGUGUGAUAUUUAUAUCUGCGCUGAAGUAGUCGGUUUUGAGCUGCUGCACUAAGGAGCGCUCUGGGCUUAUAAAAUCGAGGAUUUUAAUUAAUCCCCAAUUUUCUUUUGCGUUUGACCUCAAAUCAGAUGGGACUACCCGCUGAACUUAA